rnacentral:rRNA from 1 species
UACGUAGGGUGCAAGCGUUAAUCGGAAUUACUGGGCGUAAAGCGUGCGCAGGCGGUUGUGCAAGACCGAUGUGAAAUCCCCGGGCUUAACCUGGGAAUGGCAUUGGUGACUGCACGGCUAGAGUGUGUCAGAGGGGGGUAGAAUUCCACGUGUAGCAGUGAAAUGCGUAGAGAUGUGGAGGAAUACCGAUGGCGAAGGCAGCCCCCUGGGAUAACACUGACGCCUCAUGGCACGAAAGCGUGGGGAGCAAACAGG